rnacentral:rRNA from 1 species
GAUGAACGCUGGCGGCGUGCCUAAUACAUGCAAGUCGAGCGAACGGACGAGAAGCUUGCUUCUCUGAUGUUAGCGGCGGACGGGUGAGUAACACGUGGAUAACCUACCUAUAAGACUGGGAUAACUUCGGGAAACCGGAGCUAAUACCGGAUAAUAUUUUGAACCGCAUGGUUCAAAAGUGAAAGACGGUCUUGCUGUCACUUAUAGAUGGAUCCGCGCUGCAUUAGCUAGUUGGUAAGGUAACGGCUUACCAAGGCAACGAUGCAUAGCCGACCUGAGAGGGUGAUCGGCCACACUGGAACUGAGACACGGUCCCGACUCCUACGGGAAGCAGCAGUAGGGAAUCUUCCGCAAUGGGCCAAAGCCUGACGGAGCAACGCCGCGUGAGUGAAGAAGGUCUUCGGAUCGUAAAACUCUUUUAUUAGGGAAGAACAUAUGUGUAAGUAACUGUUCACAUCUUGACGUUACCUAAUCAGAAAGCCACGGCUAACUACGUG